UACGGGGGGGGCAAGCGUUGUUCGGAAUUACUGGGCGUAAAGGGCGCGUAGGCGGUGCUCUAAGUUAGAUGUGAAAACUCUGGGCUCAACCCAGAGCCUGCAUCUAAAACUGGAGUGCUAGAGUUCUGGAGGGGGUAGCGGAAUUCCUGGUGUAGCGGUGAAAUGCGUAGAUAUCGGGAGGAACACCAGUGGCGAAGGCGACUUCCUGGCCUGUUCUUGACGCUGAGGCGCGAAAGCUAGGGGAGCAAACGGG
rnacentral:rRNA from 1 species